CCUCUUGCGCCUGCGCCCACCAGCCCCUACAUUCAGAGUGUCCCGCAAGGGACUAUGGACAUAAACGCGCUCGUAAUAAGCGGAUCGGACCCGGGGGCGGUACCCGGCGGCUCCACCAAAAUCCUUCGUUUGGGGAUCAUGGGGCCGAAACAGGAUCGACGAACGUCUAAAGGGGUUAGCUUUGUCCCGGUGAGCCACCACCGUUAUCGGUGCAAAACGUACAGUUGCAAAUGACAACCGUGCUCCGGUCGCAGUCGCAGCGUAAGCUGUCACGAGACCGAAACUUUAAGCCCUUGCGCCUAGCCGCGUAAGGCGGGGUUCGCAGGCACCUGGCAACAGAAGCCUGCACU
rnacentral:tmRNA from 1 species